AGUGAACGCUGGCGGUAGGCCUAACACAUGCAAGUCGAACGGCAGCACAGUAAGAGCUUGCUCUUACGGGUGGCGAGUGGCGGACGGGUGAGGAAUACAUCGGAAUCUACUUUUUCGUGGGGGAUAACGUAGGGAAACUUACGCUAAUACCGCAUACGACCUACGGGUGAAAGCAGGGGAUCUUCGGACCUUUCGCGAUUGAAUGAGCCGAUUUCGGAUUAGCUAGUUGGCGGGGUAAAGGCCCACCAAGGCGACGAUCCGUAGCUGGUCUGAGAGGAUGGUCAGCCACACUGGAACUGAGACACGGUCCAGACUCCUACGGGAGGCAGCAGUGGGGAAUAUUGGACAAUGGGCGCAAGCCUGAUCCAGCCAUACCGCGUGGGUGAAGAAGGCCUUCGGGUUGUAAAGCCCUUUUGUUGGGAAAGAAAAGCAGCAGGUUAAUACCCCGCUGUUCUGACGGUACCCAAAGAAUAAGCACCGGCUAACUUCGUG
rnacentral:rRNA from 1 species